rnacentral:rRNA from 1 species
AGUGAACGCUGGCGGUAGGCCUAACACAUGCAAGUCGAACGGCAGCACAGUAAGAGCUUGCUCUUACGGGUGGCGAGUGGCGGACGGGUGAGGAAUACAUCGGAAUCUACUUUUUCGUGGGGGUUCACGUAGGGAAACUUACGCUAAUACCGCAUACGACCUACGGGUGAAAGCAGGGGAUCUUCGGACCUUGCGCGAUUGAAUGAGCCGAUGUCGGAUUAGCUAGUUGGCGGGGUAAAGGCCCACCAAGGCGACGAUCCGUAGCUGGUCUGAGAGGAUGAUCAGCCACACUGGAACUGAGACACGGUCCAGACUACUACGGGAGGCAGCAGUGGGGAAUAGUAGACAAUGGGCGCAAGCAUGAUCCAGCCAGACCGCGUGGGUGAAGAAGGCCUUGGGGUUGUAAAGCCCUUUUGUUGGGAAAGAAAAGCAGCAGGUUAAGACCCCGCUGUUCUGACGGUACCGAAAGAAUAAGCACCGGCUAACUUCGUG